UACGUAAGGGGGCAAGCGUUGUCCGGAAUCAUUGGGCGUAAAGGGCUCGUAGGUGGCUCUGUAAGUCGGAGGUGAAAAGACCACGGCUCAACCGUGGAAACGCCUUCGAAACUGUGGAGCUUGAGGCUGGGAGAGGAGAUCGGAAUUCCUGGUGUAGCGGUGAAAUGCGUAGAUAUCAGGAGGAACACCGGUGGCGAAGGCGGCCGACUGGGCCGACCCUGACGCUGAGGCGCGAAGGCGUGGGGAGCGAACGGG
rnacentral:rRNA from 1 species